rnacentral:rRNA from 1 species
AGAGUUUGAUCCUGGCUCAGAGCGAACGUUAGCGGCGGGCCUAACACAUGCAAGUCGAACGAGAAUGAGGGGGCAACUCCUCUAGUAAGUGGCGGACGGGUGCGUAACACGUAGGUAAUUUACCUUCCGGCGGGGGACAACAGUCCGAAAGGAUUGCUAAUACCGCAUACGUCGGCGAGAUCUCCGGAUCUUGUCGGGAAAGAUGGCCUCA